rnacentral:sRNA from 1 species
CGCCGGCCUUGGCCUCCCAAAGUGCUGGGAUUACAGACCCGGCCAGCCUAAACGAUUUUUAAAACAAGUUAGAGAUUUUGGGUUAGUCUUGUUUUCCAGGAAUAAAGUACCAUUUUUAGUGGCCAAGAAUGUACCAGAGGGUGUGGCCCUGUGACAUCCGGCUGGGUCUGCCCAGGGCCCCCCUCAGCGACCGAUGCUUUCUAGGAUUUAUGCUGCCAGUUGCAGAGAAAAUGGCCCUGAGUGAGGGCACUAUGACUGCCCCACCUGCCUCCUGUAACCGCGUGGCUGUGGGAUUCGGGGCCGGGAAUUUGGGUUCCUGUGGGGCCAGCACACGGCCCUGUGCUUCUCCCUCUUGCGGAGAGAGGGUGGGGGCGGCCCCGUGCAUCUCCUGCUCUAGCAGGGAGGGACGGUGGGGGCCGGUGCGCCAGUGCGGUGUCUCUGCUGCAGGUGGCUGGGCUGACGCUGCUGGCUGUCGGGGUCUACUCAGCCAAGAAUGCGACAGCCGUCACUAGCCGCUUCAUCGAAGCUCGGCUGGGGAAGCCGUCCCUAGUGAGGGAGACGUCCCGCAUCACGGUGCUGGAGGCGCUGCGGCACCCCAUCCAGGUCAGCCGGCGGCUCCUCAGUCGACCCCAGGACGUGCUGGAGGGUGUUGUGCUGAGUGUAAGUCGGUGUGCCUGGGACCGGGGAGGCGCGGCGGGGGGACCCCGGAGCUGGGCCGGGCUGUGGCCCUCGCUGGCGCUCGUGGUGGCGCCCAGGAGCUUUUGGCUCCUGAGAUGCGACUGCUUGGACUGUGCCGGGGAUAGAUAGGCUGCCCGCGAGCUGGGCGGCUUCCCAAGGAGCAGAGUCCGCACCCGGGCAUUCCCCCAGCCCCUGUCACCGAGGCUUCCGUGGGUGCAGAGUGUCUCCCCCAAACCCCCGUCUUCCCCGGCAGCCCAGCCUGGAAGCACGGGUGCGCGACAUCGCCAUAGCAACAAGGAACACCAAGAAGAACCGGGGCCUGUACAGGCACAUCCUGCUGUACGGGCCACCAGGCACCGGGAAGACGCUCUUUGCCAAGAAACUCGCCCUGCACUCAGGCAUGGACUACGCCAUCAUGACAGGCGGGGACGUGGCCCCCAUGGGGCGGGAAGGCGUGACCGCCAUGCACAAGCUCUUUGACUGGGCCAAUACCAGCCGGCGCGGGAGGAGAUAAGCAAGGACCUCAGAGCCACACUGAACGCCUUCCUGUACCACAUGGGCCAGCACAGCAACAAGUGAGGGAGCCCCUCGGGUCCUGGGCCCCCGGGCAGGGCUGUGCAGCCGUCGCCCUUGGUUCCCACUGAGGGUCCCUGGCUCACAGUGCUGGGCACCAGCUGUGGCCUCAGUGUGCCCACCUCAGAUGUCCCCUGGGAACGGCCCAGCUCGGGACAGCACGGGGUGUCACUGAGGAACAUGCGGGGCCUCCCGGGCAGAGCUGGGGUCAGUCCUGUCCUCACGGCCCUGUGCGCCGCCGCCCCAGCUUGCAGGUCCCUGUGCCCUAGGUUUUUGGGGUCCUGUGCCUGCAAGGGAGGUGGUCUGAUUGCUGCCGCCCAGAGGUCCCCAGUAGGGUGACCGGCCCUAUGUCCAGGCUCCCUUGUCCCUCCCAAAUCCCUUAAUUUUGAGUUUUCUUGGUCUCCUGGGCCCCUCCAGCCCCAGUCACAUGUCACACGGAGAAUCAAGUCCUGCUGGUCGGCCGUGGCUGACUCCUCAGGCAGGUUGGGCUCCCUGGUCAGCUGCUGCCGGUAGACGUUCCCUGGAGCCCUGACUCAGGUCCUUCCCAGAGAGGCAAGGCUGGGGCCCUGCUGAGCCUCUGCUGAACCCGGGCCCCCGAGGUCCUGCUUCUGGCUCGCAUGGCCAUAAUCUUGACAUGGACUUUGGGUCCCGCAUCCCUGCUCCCAGCACAGCGGGGCUCAGGAAGCAGGAGGAAGUGGUGUUCCCAGCGCUGCCUAUCAGGCUGGGCGAGGGUCAGCGGGGAAGUACCACACAGGGCGAGAACAGAGACCCGAGAAGCCGGGCGGGGGGCAGCUGGGCGUGGUGGGGCAGGCAGGCGGGUGACCAGGGCUGUGGCCGCGUUCUCCCCAUGUUUCCUGUGCUCACAAGCUGCCGCUUUAGAUUCUCCCAAAAAGUCUCCCCGAGGGGGCUGAGGAGCCCCCGUUGCCCUCGGGGCAUCUCGGCCGGCAGCCCCAGCGUUUCCUUCCCCAUCCCUGUCCUACAGAUUCAUGCUGGUCCUGGCCAGCAAUCUGCCUGAGCAGUUUGACUGCGCCAUCAACAGCCGCAUCGACGUGAUGGUCCACUUCGACCUGCCGCAGCAGGAGGAGCGGGAGCGCCUGGUGAGACUGCAUUUUGACAACUGUGUUCUUAAGCCAGCCACAGAAGGAAAACGGUGAGUGUCCCGCCUCACCCGGCCCCCAAUCCAGGCGCCAUAUGGCAUGGGUGUAGGCCGGCUGCCUGUCUUCCGGCCUCCACCUCGUGGUGUGGGGUCUGCGGCCUUGGCUGCCUCACUUGGGAACUCCUUCCCCAGGCGCCUGAAGCUGGCCCAGUUUGACUACGGGAGUAAGUGCUCGGAGGUCGCUCGGCUGACGGAGGGCAUGUCGGGCCGGGAGAUCGCUCAGCUGGCCGUGUCCUGGCAGGCCACGGCGUAUGCCUCCAAGGACGGGGUCCUCACUGAGGCCAUGAUGGACGCCUGUGUGCAAGAUGCUGUCCAGCAGUACCGACAGAAGAUGCGCUGGCUGAAGGCGGAGGGGCCUGGGCGCGGGGUUGAGCACCCCCUAUCCCGAGUCCAAGGCGAGACUCGCACCUCAUGGAGCCUGGCCGCGGACCCCUCCUACCCCUGCCUUGCCGGCCCCUGCACAUUUAGGAUAUGCUCCUGGGUGGGGACUGGGCUGUGCCCAGGGCCUCUGUCCCCCAGGAUGUCUUGUGGUGGGGGUCAGCCGUUCUGCCCCUCAGGACACCCCCUGUUGUAGGCACUGGCUAGGGAGGGGCAGGCCUCCUUCCUGCCCCUCGAGACACUCUUGGGAGAUGCAUUUUCCGUCUGGCUCACAGGGGGAGGGUGAGGCUUUGUACCCCAGCCCCUGCCCAGGCCACUGGGAGGGUGGGUGCUGGCUGAGCCCCUGGGGCAGAAGGAGUGGGGCAGGCGGGGUCUUUGUUCUUGGCUCCCACAGCAGAGCCAGGUGAGCCGGGGCCUGUCAGGACUAGACAGAAGUGGGGCGGCCUGAACACUGCUUCCAGCCGUGGCCAGGGAACCUGGCAGGGGUGUCUGAGGCCGCACUGUCGGCUGGCCGGUCCAAGCCUGUGGCUGGAGCUGGUGUGUGUUUAUCUAAUAAAGUCCCACAGGUGCCUC